AUUGAACGCUGGCGGCAGGCCUAACACAUGCAAGUCGAACGAGUGGCGGACGGGUGAGUAAUGUCUGGGAAACUGCCUGAUGGAGGGGGAUAACUACGGGAAACGGUAGCUAAUACCGCAUACCAUCAGAUGUGCCAAGAUGGGAUUAGCUUGUUGGUGGGGUAACGGCUCACCAAGGCGAAGCUCCCUAGCUGGUCUGAGAGGAUGACCGCACAAACUGGAACUGAGACACGGGCCAGACUCCAACGGGAGGCAGCAGUGGGAAUAUUGGACAAUGGGGGAAAGACUGAUGCAGCCAUGCCGCGUGUAUGAAGAAGGCCUUCGGGUUGUAAAGUACUUUCAGCGGGGAGGCGUUACCCGCAGAAGAAGCACCGGCUAACUCCGUGCCAGCAGCCGCGGUAAUUC
rnacentral:rRNA from 1 species